rnacentral:rRNA from 1 species
AAAUUGAAGAGUUUGAUCAUGGCUCAGAUUGAACGCUGGCGGCAGGCCUAACACAUGCAAGUCGAACGGUAACAGGAGUCAG